rnacentral:rRNA from 1 species
AUGCCCGUGUUUAAGCGCUGGAAGGAUUACAAGGACCCGGAUGGACAUGUCCGAGAUGGGAUCUUCAAGAACUUUGUAGGAAAAGUUGGUAACAAGUUUCAGAUGGACAUUGAUGCUGUGCCAGUUAGGAAGGCUUGUACUGAAAUGCUGAAACGUGUGAAUCGCCAACAACGAUACAGGCUCAAGAAAGAGUAUUUUGACCCUCACCCACUCCAUUUGGUGACGAGAACGUCUCCUGUCCCCUCGAUGACUGAUGAGCAGUGGAAUGAGCUAGUGGAAAGCUGGAAGGAUCCCAAAAAGAUGGGGAUAUGUGAAACUAACAAAAAUAAUCGAGCUCAAGUUAAGUUUCACCAAACCACUGGCUCGCGCAGCUACCCUGUGCACUGUGAUAAUCUGGGAGACAAAUACAAAGAUAAAGAACCCACUGCAUUGGAUUUGUUCAAGGAGUGCCACUACAGCAAGAAAAAGAAAAGCUACACCGCUGUUGUCCAAGCUGCAAUUACCGAGAUGGAAAACAAGGCCUCUCAGCCUACAGAAGAUGGACAGGAAUCGAACUCCACGACCGAGGCUGUAGCUGAAGUGCUUGCUAAGCACACCAAGAAGCCAAGGUUUCUUCAGCAUGUGGGGAUCUAG